AGCAGCAGCCGCGGGAAAACGUAGGGGGCAAGCGUUAUCCGGAAUUACUGGGUGUAAAGGGAGCGUAGACGGUUAAACAAGUCUGAAGUGAAAUGCCGGGGCUCAACCCCGGAGCUGCUUUGGGAACUGUAGAACUGGAGUGUCGGAGGGGUAAGCGGAAUUCCCAGUGUAGCGGUGAAAUGCGUAGAUAUUAGGAGGAAUACCAGUGGCGAAGGCGACUUUCUGGACUGCAACUGACACUGAGGCACGAAAGCGUGGGGAGCAAACGGGAUUAGAUACCCCUGUAGUCCCUGUCUCUUAUAC
rnacentral:rRNA from 1 species